rnacentral:tRNA from 1 species
GAGGGUAUAGCUCAAGUGGUAGAGCACAUGCUUAGCAUACACAAGGUCCUGGGUUCAAACCCAGCACCUCCU